rnacentral:rRNA from 1 species
UCCGGUUGAUCCUGCCGGACCUGACUGCUAUCGGAUUGGUACUAAGCCAUGCGAGUCAUUGUAGCAAUACAAGGCGGACGGCUCAGUAACACGUAGUCAACCUAACUCGUGGACGUGGAUAACCUCGGGAAACUGAGAAUAAACCACGAUAGAUCAUAGUGCCUGGAAUGGCUUAUGGUCCAAACAGUUUACUGCCAUGGGAUGGGACUGCGGCCUAUCAGCUUGUUGGUGAGGUAAUGGCCCACCAAGGCGAUUACAGGUACGGGCUCUGAGAGGAGAAGCCCGGAGAUGGGUACUGAGACACGGACCCAGGCCCUAUGGGGCGCAGCAGGCGAGAAACCUUAGCAAUGUGCGAAAGCACGACUGGGUCAGUCCGAGUGAUUCCUGAUAAAGGAGUCUUUUGCCUGUCCUAAAAGCACAGGUGAAUAAGGGGUGGGCAAGUCUGGUGUCAGCCGCCGCGGUAAUACCAGCACCUCGAGUGGUCAGGACGUUUAUUGGGCCUAAAGCAUCCGUAGCCGGCUCUGCAAGUCUUCGGUUAAAUCCACCUGCUCAACAGAUGGGCCGCUGGAGAUACUACAGAGCUAGGGAGUGGGAGAGGCAGACGGUAUUCAGUGGGUAGGGGUAAAAUCCUCUGAUCCAUUGAGGACCACCAGUGGCGAAGGCGGUCUGCCAGAACACGUUCGACGGUGAGGGAUGAAAGCUGGGGGAGCAAACCGGAUUAGAUACCCGGGUAGUCCCAGCUGUAAACGAUGCAAACUCGGUGAUGCAUUGGCUUAUGGCCAAUGCAGUGCCGCAGGGAAGCCGUUAAGUUUGCCGCCUGGGAAGUACGGACGCAAGUCUGAAACUUAAAGGAAUUGGCGGGGGAGCACCACAAGGGGUGAAGCCUGCGGUUCAAUUGGAUUCAACGCCGG